GUGAGGAAUAUUGGUCAAUGGGCGGAAGCCUGAACCAGCCAUCCCGCGUGCAGGAAGAAUGCCCUAUGGGUUGUAAACUGCUUUUCCAGGGGAAGAAAACCCCCGACGUGUCGGGGCUUGCCGGUACCCUGGGAAUAAGCAUCGGCUAACUCCGUGCCAGCAGCCGCGGUAAUACGGAGGAUGCGAGCGUUAUCCGGAUUUAUUGGGUUUAAAGGGUGCGUAGGCGGACAAAUAAGUCAGUGGUGAAACCCUGCAGCUUAACUGUAGACUUGCCAUUGAUACUGUUAGUCUUGAGGAUGGUCAAGGUAGGCGGAAUGUGUAAUGUAGCGGUGAAAUGCUUAGAUAUUACACAGAACACCGAUUGCGAAGGCAGCUUACUGGGCCAUAACUGACGCUGAUGCACGAAAGCGUGGGGAGCGAACAGGAUUAGAAACCCGAGUAGUCC
rnacentral:rRNA from 1 species